CCAAAAAAAAAAAAAAAAAAAGUAGCCAGACGUGGUGGCGCGCCUGUAAUCCUAGCUACUCAGGAGGCUGAGGCAGGAGAAUCGUUUGAACCCGGGAGGCGGAGGUUGCAGUGAGCCGAGAUCGUGCCACUGCACUCCAGCCUGGGUGACCGAGACAACGUGUGAAAAAAAAAGAAAAAAGAAAAAAAAGAAAAGAAAAAGAAAAAAAUUAAAGUGGGAAACAGACCUGCAGCCUGUGUGUGUUUGUGCAUGGCGGGGGAGGUCCAGGCAGGGGUGGUGACCUUGACGUUCCUGGAGAUGCCCCGGACCAGGCCCUGCCCCCACCCCAACUGGAGGUCAAAUAGUCUCAGCAGGGCUCCUGGCCCCUUCCAGCGCCUGGGACCCAGUGGGUGGGGCUAGCCAGAUCACUCUUGUCCACUCCAACAUCAAUUCCUGAGGCACUCGGGUGUCACCUCUCCCUUGCACACCCCUUACGCCUCCCAGCCCCACCCAGCAGCCAGCCCAGACUGGUGACUGACAGGAAGUUCAAAGAUCAGGCUGAGAAAAAACCCAGAGACAUCUGGGGCUCUGGAUCCAAAGAUCUCCCCACUCACACACCUACGGACACACGCUACUCUGGGAGGUGAUUUGCGACUUAGCCAGGCCCCCAAAGCUGGGCUCCUGUAGGGAGAAAGUCUGCCCAGGUCCACAUCCAAGCCUUCAUCAUUUGUCCUCCGGGUUCUGGGAUCUUGCUGGAAGAGGGGAGCUUCUGCAAUGGGAGUUGCCACAACCCUGCUGCCCCCAACCACUUCCAAAACCCUGCAGAAGCAGCAUCUAGAAGCAGUGGGCGCCUACCAAUAUGUGCUCACUUUCCUCUUCAUGGGCCCUUUCUUCUCCCUUCUUGUCUUUGUCCUCCUCUUCACGUCACUCUGGCCCUUCUCUGUUUUUUACUUGGUGUGGCUCUAUGUGGACUGGGACACACCCAACCAAGGUGGAAGGCGUUCGGAGUGGAUAAGGAACUGGGCAAUUUGGAGACAACUAAGGGAUUAUUAUCCUGUCAAGCUGGUGAAAACGGCAGAGCUGCCCCCGGAUCGGAACUACGUGCUGGGCGCCCACCCUCAUGGGAUCAUGUGUACAGGCUUCCUCUGUAAUUUCUCCACCGAGAGCAAUGGCUUCUCCCAGCUCUUCCCGGGGCUCCGGCCCUGGUUAGCCGUGCUGGCUGGCCUCUUCUACCUCCCGGUCUAUCGCGACUACAUCAUGUCCUUUGGACUCUGUCCCGUGAGCCGCCAGAGCCUGGACUUCAUCCUGUCCCAGCCCCAGCUCGGGCAGGCCGUGGUCAUCAUGGUUGGGGGUGCGCAUGAGGCCCUGUAUUCAGUCCCCGGGGAGCACUGCCUAACGCUCCAGAAGCGCAAAGGCUUCGUGCGCCUGGCGCUGAGGCACGGGGCGUCCCUGGUGCCCGUGUACUCCUUUGGGGAGAAUGACAUCUUUAGACUUAAGGCUUUUGCCACAGGCUCCUGGCAGCAUUGGUGCCAGCUCACCUUCAAGAAGUUCAUGGGCUUCUCUCCUUGCAUCUUCUGGGGUCGUGGUCUCUUCUCAGCCACCUCCUGGGGCCUGCUGCCCUUUGCUGUGCCCAUCACCACUGUGGUGGGCCGCCCCAUCCCUGUCCCCCAGCGCCUCCACCCCACCGAGGAGGAAGUCAAUCACUAUCACGCCCUCUACAUGAUGGCCCUGGAGCAGCUCUUCGAGGAGCACAAGGAAAGCUGUGGGGUCCCCGCUUCCACCUGCCUCACCUUCAUCUAGGCUUGGCCGCGGCCUUUCGCUGAGCCCCUGAGCCCAAGGCACUGAGACCUCCACCCACUGUGGACUCCAUGCCUCCAAUAAAAGUAGAGAUGGGGUUUCACCGUGUUUGCCAGGAUGGUCUCGAUCUCCUGACCUCGUGAUCCGCUCGCCUCGGCCUCCCAAAGUGCUGGGGUUACAGGCGUGAGCCACCAAGCCCGGCCCAAAAUCCGUCUUUUGAAAAAGAGGAAGAAGGAACAGCAUUCGCAGCUUUAUGAGCUCAGCCUGCCGCUUUUCUUUCGGCGCUAUUCUCUCCUGCCAUCCUCCAUGUGGCCACCAGAGGGCGGUCUCUACACAGAAGGCAAAUCUGUCCCUCUUGCUUGAAGUCCUCGGGGGCUAGCCAGCCUCUGCCUACAGGCUGGGUCCAAGGUGCAGCCCCACCCAGGGCAGACGACCCAGAACUGCUUGUUCUUGCAAACCAGGCUGUGUUUCAGCCCUGGGCUUUACUCAGGCUGUCCCUUCCCACCUGAGGGACCCAGCACCUCUUAUCUGGAAGGGGAGUUUCAAGACUCAGUUUAGGUUCCAUUUUCAAGACACCUUCCCCAACCUGCCAACCUGCCAGGCUGGUCCAGGGCCCUCCUUGCCAUCCCCAUAGCUCUGCUUAAAGAUCUAUCACGACCUUCUCCAGCCUGGCCAACAUGGUGAAAACCCAUCUUUACUAAAAAUACAAAAAUUAGCUGGGCAUGGUGACAGGUGCCCCUGAUCCCAGCUACUUGGGAGGCUGGGGCCCGAGAACCACUUGAACCCAGGAGGCGAAGGUUGCAGUGAGCAGAGAUUGCGCCACUGCACUCCAGCCUGGAUGACAGAGUGAGACUCCAUCUCAAAAAAAAAAAAA